GAUGAAGAACGUAGCGAAAUGCGAUAAGUAAUGUGAAUUGCAGAAUUCAGUGAAUCAUCGAAUCUUUGAACGCACAUUGCGCCCGCCAGUAUUCUGGCGGGCAUGCCUGUUCGAGCGUCAUUUCAACCAUCAAGCCCCCGGCUUGUGUUGGGGACCUGCGGCUGCCGCAGGCCCUGAAAACCAGUGGCGGGCUCGCUAGUCACUCCGAGCAUAGUAGUUACAUCUCGCUCAGGGCGUGCUGCGGGUUCCGGCCGUUAAAAGCAUUAUUUACCCAAGGUUGACCUCGGAUCAGGUAGGAAGACCCGCUGAACUUAAGCAUAUCAAUAAGCGGAGGA
rnacentral:misc_RNA from 1 species